GCAACCCUGCUGCAUUCGCGAGUCGAUAAAGACCUCGAGCCGAUGUAUCUUACCCAGGAGGGUUUGCUUUGCUGAUGUGCGCAUGUCCGCGAGCGGAAAGCCUGAUUCAGUAAGUGACCCACCACCUUGAACCAUUGGGUUCAAGGGCUUUUUACGACCGCGGUGCAGUGGGAUCCCU
rnacentral:other from 1 species